GAGCCAGAUAUGACUGGAUAGUAAAAUUUGAUAUUUGGCCGGAGCCGGAUACCUAAGUGUCUUGUAAAAAACUUGUGUUGCUGAACACUUUUAUGUUAAAUAACAUACCUAUAUUGCAUGACGGACGGAUGGACAGAUACACUACACAAUUAAGAUUUGCCCUGGCCAUCACUUCCUGUCAGUACUACUUGUUCUCCUGUUACUGUUAGAAGGAGUAAUUAGAGAUGAAUGUCUGUAAUGUAUUUGAUGCAUCAAAACAUGUAAAUAUCUGACAUUUUUAAAAUUUUCAAAAUGCACUAUUUAACUUAGUUCCUGUCAUUCUGGUUUGAGCUCAGUUCAUUGUUUUAUCUUUAUUUCAAUAUAUUUGCAACACUCUUUUUUUUUCAACAACUAUUCUAUUCUAAUGUUGCAUGGCUAUACCAUCUUAAAUUUCUUCAGCACUUUCUCUUACAUGUGUCCUUUGUAGAUGUGAAUUUUAAAAUAUGACUGAAUUAUGAAUGGCUGCCUGGUCCUGUGGUAUGUAAUCUGGACUGUUGAUGGUCCCAGGUCCAAACAUAACAAAAAAAAAAGCUAGAAUUACCUGGAUCAACACCAUGUUUGAUUAGUAAACUUUGUUGAUCCACGCUGGAAAUAAAAUAAAAAAAAAAAAAUAAAUACUUUACACUUUAAACACAUUAACUUGCUAGACUACUUAACAGUGAUAGAAAGAAUAUACUUGAGAUGUAAACAAAUUCCAUAUACUAAAAUCUCAUGCCCAGGAAAUUCAAUUGUAUCAAACAUUAAUCAAAGAAAAAGCUUCAGUUGAAAGAACAUUUAUAAAAAGAUAAUGUAAAAACUAGAGGCAUUUUUUGUUGGUAGUUUGUUUUUUGUUUCUUUAAGAUCCAAAUGAGGUGAACCAAGAGGUUUAUGACUGCUCUAGAGAUGACAUUAAAAUAAUUUUUUUUUAAUAUAUUUAAGAAUUUUAAAGAUACAAUCUUUUCAAUAAAAGUAUCAUUAUAUUUCUUAAA